CAAUAUUUCAAGUGGCAAGGGUGGGGUCAUAGGGUAGUGAGUGUCCUACCCGACGUAAUGUGAUCCUAAAGGAGGGGAAAUUGUAUUAUCUUUAUGAAGAAGUGGAGUUGGAAAUCGAGUGGAAUAAUGACAACUCUCAAUAUGGAGAGUGCAUAGAACCCAAAAAUCAAGGAUAAGGAAGUAGAGAGGAUGUGUUGCCU
rnacentral:lncRNA from 1 species